AUCUAGUUGACGAGUCCCAGAUAGGACUCAAUGCGCGUCCUGGAU
rnacentral:hammerhead_ribozyme from 1 species